UCCCUGGUGGCUCAGACAGUAGUGCAUCUGCCUGCAAUGCAGGAGACCUGGGUUCCAUUCCUGGGUCGGGAA
rnacentral:tRNA from 1 species